GGAGAAGUACUCAAGCGGCUCAAGAGGAGCCCCUGCUAAGGGCUUAGGCUGGGUUAACCGGCGCAUGGGUUCAAAUCCCAUCUUCUCCG
rnacentral:tRNA from 1 species